rnacentral:rRNA from 1 species
UACGUAGGGAGCAAGCGUUGUCCGGAAUCAUUGGGCGUAAAGCGCGCGUAGGCGGCCUUGUAAGUCCGUUGUGAAAGUCAAAGGCUCAACCUUUGAAAGCCGAUGGAUACUGCAGGGCUAGAGUCCGGAAGAGGCGAGUGGAAUUCCUGGUGUAGCGGUGGAAUGCGCAGAUAUCAGGAGGAACACCAAUAGCGAAGGCAGCUCGCUGGGACGGUACUGACGCUGAGGCGCGAAAGCGUGGGGAGCAAACAGG